rnacentral:lncRNA from 1 species
GCCGGGGUUACUGGGGGGGCGGCUGCCGGCUCCCGCAUGCGGAGCGCGGGUUAGAGGCACCCCAGCGGGCAGGCUGUCCCCAACAUUGCAGGACGUGUUAGCCACAGUGUGGGGCUGGAGGCACGACAGGCGGAGCGAACCUCAGGCACGAGUCACCUUUUGUAUCGUCCAGCAGGUGGGACGGUGUUUUAAAUUGUGA